rnacentral:rRNA from 1 species
UACGAAGGGGACUAGCGUUGUUCGGAAUCACUGGGCGUAAAGGGUGCGUAGGCGGGUCUUUAAGUCAGGGGUGAAAUCCUGGAGCUCAACUCCAGAACUGCCUUUGAUACUGAAGAUCUUGAGUUCGGGAGAGGUGAGUGGAACUGCGAGUGAGAGGUGAAAUUCGUAGAUAUUCGCAAGAACACCAGUGGCGAAGGCGGCUCACUGGCCCGAUACUGACGCUGAUGCACGAAAGCGUGGGGAGCAAACAGG